AUACGAAAGGUGCAAGCGUUGUUCGGAUUUACUGGGCGUAAAGAGAGUGUAGGUGGUUUAUUAAGUCGGAUGUGAAAUCCCGGGGCUCAACCUCGGAACUGCAUUCGAUACUGAUAGGCUAGAGUUUGGGAGGGGUAAGCGGAAUUCCGUGUGUAGCAGUGAAAUGCGUAGAUAUACGGAGGAACACCUGAGGCGAAGGCGGCUUACUGGACCAAUACUGACACUGAGACUCGAAAGCGUGGGUAGCAAACAGGAUUAGAUACCCGGGUAGUCC
rnacentral:rRNA from 1 species